UUCCAGGGUCGGCAGCCCAAAGCAGGGCUGAGCUGGGGCACCCUGGGCUCUGUCUCCAGGCUCAGGCCCCGUGUGUUUACUCACCAGAGAGACAACUCCCACUUCCCAAGGCUGCCAAUAGGAACCUUCCAUUCAGGCGCGCCAGCUGGGGCCUAGGAGAGCCCUGAGCUUCUCCCCAAGCAAAACUGGUUCGCACUGAGGACACCGGAAGGAGGCAGGCGGGCGCCGGCUCCAGUCCUGCACCCCAUCUCCUCACCUCCCACUCGCUAUCGCUGAACCAUCUUGCCCCGUGACUCACCUGCACGGGCAUGUGGCAAUGGCACCUGGGGGCGGGGCAGAAGCCACACAGGUGCGGAGCCCAAGUUCUAGGGCCCCGGGGCCCCCAGACCUCGGCUGGCUGCUGCUCCCGCUUCCUGGCCAUCUCGGCCUUCACCCUCUGCGUCCGAGGACCAGGAGUAACAACAGCACCGUCUCCUAGGGCUGCUCACUCAGGCACGGCUGCCACCAGGUGGUGCUUCCAGGUGUAGGCGCCCCCCACCCCCAGGCUCAGGGCUCGUGGCCUUGAGUCUUGCCCUGUGUCUCUGAGGGUUCAUUCCGUCAGCCCCGCUAUACCUGAGUGCUCAGCACCAGCUCAUUCUGGCAAAGAGCAGGGAACUCAGAGUCACUCGGAGACUCAGCAGACAUGAGAUGGGGCACCUCUGACACCAGAAGGGGCCAGCUUCAGUGGAAAAUGGGGAGGGACCAAAUGAAAGAUUCAGAUGAUGAGGGGAUGGGACUCCUUUCCACAUCUCUCAGGAGACUGCUAUGCUAAGACGUCACAGCACCAAGGGAUUCAGUCCCCAGUACCAACACCCAUUCAUACACACACACACACACACACACACACACACACACAGAUUAAUAGGUACAAAGAAAUCCUACCAGUCUGGGUUGUGGCUCUGUGAUAGAGCACUUGCUAGCAGGCCUGAGGCUCUGGGUUCGGUUCCCAGAACCACACACACACACACACACACACACACACACACACACAUAUUUCUUAAAAGAGAAACGUAUCAUUUGCCUUCUAACCUGGGAAUUCUUUCAGUCACAGCUAAGCUAGAGUCCUCCUCCAAAUUCUUUCCCCCCUGGGGCUCCUGACAGUGGGGACUGGAGAGGCCCCCAGAGGAGGCUGUCCCCAGAGGCUGCAAGGACUGAGGCUGACUUGCUUCCUCCCCUGUGUCUGCGUCUCUGCCACCCCUGGAGUCAUCGCAGGUCAAGAGGGAGACCCUGGAGGAGAAGCAAAAGGCCUGCCUCCUGCUUUGGAAGAGUCCCACAGCUGGGGACUAGCAGUGACACAGUGAGAAGAGCUGGCUCGACUGGGCCUAACUCCUCUCCUGUGUCACGUCUCACCUCUGCUGGAGACACAUGGACUCUCUGGGUUCUGCACUUGAGAUUUUGUGCAUUACAGAGCGGAGGACGAGCUCCCUGUUCUGCAAGGACACUCCGAGGGACGGAGCGAGUCCAGAAGGAUUGGAAGGAUAACACAACCCGGGAUUAGAUGGAAGAAACUCUUGGCUCCGAUGGUCCUGUCCUGGGGAAGAUGGCCGGGCCCCAGGGAAGCCCAUGUUGUGUAAGUUGUGCCUCUAGGACAACUGGUCUGAUUAGAAUCUAUUAUCAGGGCAUUGGUAAGUGUCCCACGUGGGCCCUGGAGUGAAAGUGUAAGGGGAGCGGGUGGCCUGUCCUCACCCCAGAGCCAAGCUCUCAGCCCUGUGGGCCUCAACUGGGCAGCCAAAGCCCCUGUCCUCUCUCAGCCCACCGCAGAAAGUCUUUUUAUUUUACCACACGCACAUUUUCUUCCCUCCCUCGGCAAUGACUCAGAGCACUUUACAGCUCGCAGUUUUAGGAAUGUUCUAGCUGUUUCUCAUUUUAGGGAGGGAGCAGGUUCUGGGGCUGAGCGCGACCUGAUCUUUCUGAGUCAGAUCUCCUCUCAAGCCAACCUCAGCCAGCUGUUGCCUAACGACACUUGUUGUGCGGACACCGGACACCCGUGAGGACAUACACAGACCCAGAGGAGGGGCCCGCAUCGCCUCUGGGUCGCAUGGUGUGGCCUGUUAUUAAAUUUUCUUCUCUUUCUACUUUUCAAACUUUUUUGUUAAAAACUAGGACACGGACCCCACAUGAGCCUGCGGCAGGAGCUUCCAUUCUGCUGUGCAUCUUGUCCCCCUGAAGGUCUGGGGGCAGCAACUUGCAGGGAGCUGCCAUCUGUGACAGCGAUGCCCUCUCCUGAGGGAGACGCCUGCCCGACAGAGGCCACUUCAGAGACGUCAUCUUCCUGGCAGAUGAUCGGGCGAGGGCUCAGGGAGACGUCAGGCAGAUUCCUGACCCUGCAGGGUAAUCGGACUCGCCUGAAGGAGCGAGCAGACAGCACUUCGCAGGCCUCGGGCCUAAAGCACUGGGCAGAGCCCCCCUGAAGGGACCUCAGGAGGACCUCGUGCAGGCUGGGGACAUUCUGUCUUCUGAGUCGAGCUGCUCUGUCUAAGAAAAUUCUUCCUACGUUUUGCCAAAAGUCGCCUCCCUGCAACUCCUCCUCGUGGGUCCUGGUUCUGUCAGAAGCAAAUGUCAAACAACAGUCCUGAAGGAGAAGACCUGGGACAUCAGUAGUCCCGAUGGAACUGGGCUGGGUGACGGCAUCUCCUGCAGCGGCCAUCCCCGUGGCUCUUAGCCCCAGAGCCAGGCCCGGACUGAAGUCAAGGAUCUUUCAGUGAAAUUUGAAAAACCAAAAAGUUCUCAGUUCUUGGAUGCUUCUAUUAGCAAAGCAUAAAACAGCUUCUUUCUCCACUCUUUCAGCCCAGAGCGUGCUGCCAGACUGGCAGGAGGCCAAGGGGAAAGGCACUCUCCUUGUGCAAAGAUGACAGUCACACGGCUCUGGAGCCAUGACCUCACCUCAGUUAAUACGUGCUGUCCGGCCUGUAAUCACUGAGCAUCCAGGGAGUGGGCCAGCGAGGUAGCCACCCGCGUCAGGCCUCCUGUUUACAGAGCCUUUCUGGCGUCAGGUGUAAAAUCAUGACCCGCGAGUCCCCUUCCUGCCUCGCCUGGCAGCCCUUUGGAAGCUGGCGUGUGCGCUGUGACACAGGAGGAAUGCACCCAUCUUUUUUUAGAUUGAUAGCUUGGCUCUCUGAUGACUCCUGUUAAAAACAACUUGUACACUUGAAGUUCACAGCAUCAGAGUGGGGAACCUGCAUCAGGUGCCUUCGGGCCGGGCAGGGGGAGUUUGGUCUCCGGAGUGUGGGCAAAAGAACGGUUGCAUUAUUUUUCUAAAUCAGAGGUCAUCUGGCAAUAUCAGUCACUAUUUGGUUACUUUGUCCAUCCAGCUGCUCAUCCAAGAGGAAGCAUACUUUGGGGCACUGUGGCCAGGCCUCUGCUGCCCUGGCUUCUGGGGCCGAGCACUGCUGUAGCUGAGGGUCCCAUGGAUCUCAGGCUCUUGCGAGUGCUCCAAGGACUUGGCCCCAGAAAUGCCCCUCCCUGGGUCAAGAACCCACAGGUGUCUGCAGCCUCUGUCUUUCCCCGCCCAGGUGCCGUGUGCAGAAAGGCCUCGCUCCAGUCCUGGUGUGCCCCCCACCCUUUUCCCCUCAGGCAUGCAGAAGCACUCUGCCAAGGCUGCCCCUGCCACUUUGCAUGAGCCUCCCUUCCUCCCUCCCUCACCAAGGGACAGUCCGAUGACAGCAGUCCUCCCUUCUUCAAGGGGGAUGUAUUUCAAGAGCCCAGACGAUGCCUGAACCCGGGAAUAGUACCAAACCCGGGACCUACUGUUUUUCCCCAGACGCUUAGACCCACAAGAGUUUAGGGCCGAUUCCAUCCUGACCAAACCCUACCCCAUACGAUGGCUACAGCGUUCGCAGCGUGAGGUGGGACAGCGACGGGGCGUGGGUUUCUUCCCCUUCUUCACCGCAUCAUGGACAGACAGACGCUCCUUCUUACCCACAGAUCUUUGCAACUUCAGUUCAUGGUUUGUUUCCUUCUUAAGUCAAGAACUUUCCCUUUUCCUCUCACAGGAAGCGCUUCAUGGCCUAUCUGACUGCCAGCGUCCCUGCUCUUGUGCUCAGGGGCCAUGAUUAAGUAAAAUAAAGGCCGCCUGAACACAGGCA